GCCUGGCUGGCUCAGUUGGUAGAGCAUGCAACUCUUGAUCUUGGGGUUGUGAGUUCAAGCCACAUGUUAGGCA
rnacentral:tRNA from 1 species